AACGCGAAGAACCUUACCAGCUCUUGACAUGCCACGACGGUUACCGGAGACGGUUUCCUUCCUUCGGGACGUGGACACAGGUGCUGCAUGGCUGUCGUCAGCUCGUGUCGUGAGAUGUUGGGUUAAGUCCCGCAACGAGCGCAACCCUCGCCUUUAGUUGCCAUCAUUUGGUUGGGCACUCUAAAGGGACUGCCGGUGAUAAGCCGAGAGGAAGGUGGGGAUGACGUCAAGUCCUCAUGGCCCUUACGGGCUGGGCUACACACGUGCUACAAUGGCGGUGACAGUGGGCAGCCAACUCGCGAGAGUGAGCUAAUCCCCAAAAGCCGUCUCAGUUCGGAUUGCACUCUGCAACUCGGGUGCAUGAAGUUGGAAUCGCUAGUAA
rnacentral:rRNA from 1 species